CGAUCUGCUUCGUUUAGAUACGUUGUUAAGUAAUUCACAUCUUCCCCGUUACGAUACGUGCAUGAUCUUGUCUUGUGCUCUUCUGCUCAUUGGACUGAUGCAUGAAGGACAAGAGCUUGCACAGAGUUUUUAGUAGAAGACGACGUAAAUUGUGGUAUUGGCCGCAAUCUGGAAGUUCUUCAGAUCCAAAUCCUGCUUCAGAAAGUGUAUAUGAAGCAAAGGUCUGCACCUACAUGUUAUCAGAAGUCAGGUCUUAGACAAGGUUUGUCAUUGUCCGUGGAUUCAAUCUUUCCCCCUUUCUCUGUUGACAUACUUCUAGGAGCUGCAAUGCUCAAAUUGCCACGGAUCUUAGACUGGUGUCAAGAUGCUAUUGAUAAGAUUUUGAAUUGCAUCAAACGGUUUCAGGUUUUUUCUUCAAUUUCAGUUACGAUGUUCAUGUUCUGCUUAUAACCAGGUUUAAAUAUCGUACUGUUGUUUUCUGCUAUGUCAUUUGUUCACAUUCGUUCACAUGAACAUUACAGAUUUAGCUACACAUGAAUUUGUGUUAGAUCAAUUGCAAUUUUAAUUAUUUUGGCCUGGGAUACCACUUCAACA